GUGGGGAAUAUUGGACAAUGGGGGGAACCCUGAUCCAGCCAUGCCGCGUGUGUGAAGAAGGCCUUUUGGUUGUAAAGCACUUUAAGCGAGGAGGAGGCUACCGAGAUUAAUACUCUUGGAUAGUGGACGUUACUCGCAGAAUAUGCACCGGCUAACUCUGUGCCAGCAGCCGCGGUAAUACAGAGGGUGCAAGCGUUAAUCGGAUUUACUGGGCGUAAAGCGCGCGUAGGUGGCCAAUUAAGUCAAAUGUGAAAUCCCCGAGCUUAACUUGGGAAUUGCAUUCGAUACUGGUUGGCUAGAGUAUGGGAGAGGAUGGUAGAAUUCCAGGUGUAGCGGUGAAAUGCGUAGAGAUCUGGAGGAAUACCGAUGGCGAAGGCAGCCAUCUGGCCUAAUACUGACACUGAGGUGCGAAAGCAUGGGGAGCAAACAGGAUUAGAUACCCCGGUAGUCC
rnacentral:rRNA from 1 species